rnacentral:rRNA from 1 species
CGGACGUGGAUAACCUGCCUCACACAGGGGGAUAACAGUUAGAAAUGACUGCUAAUACUGCAUAAGCGCACGGCAUCGCAUGAUGCAGUGUGAAAAACUCCGGUGGUGUGAGAUGGAUCCGCGUCGGAUUAGGUAGUUGGUGGGGUAACGGCCCACCAAGCCGACGAUCAGUAGCCGACCUGAGAGGGUGACCGGCCACAUUGGGACUGAGACACGGCCCAA